rnacentral:rRNA from 3 species
UUAGAUACCCUGGUAGUCCACGCCGUAAACGAUGUCUACUAGUCGUUGGGUCCCUUGAGGACUUAGUGACGCAGCUAACGCAAUAAGUAGACCGCCUGGGGAGUACGGCCGCAAGGUUAAAACUCAAAUGAAUUGACGGGGGCCCGCACAAGCGGUGGAGCAUGUGGUUUAAUUCGAUGCAACGCGAAGAACCUUACCUGGUCUUGACAUAUCUAGAAUCCUGCAGAGAUGCGGGAGUGCCUUCGGGAAUUAGAAUACAGGUGCUGCAUGGCUGUCGUCAGCUCGUGUCGUGAGAUGUUGGGUUAAGUCCCGCAACGAGCGCAACCCUUGUCCUUAGUUACCAGCGGGUUAAGCCGGGAACUCUAAGGAUACUGCCAGUGACAAACUGGAGGAAGGCGGGGACGACGUCAAGUCAUCAUGGCCCUUACGACCAGGGCUACACACGUGCUACAAUGGUAGGUACAGAGGGCAGCUACACAGCGAUGUGAUGCGAAUCUCAAAAAGCCUAUCGUAGUCCAGAUUGGAGUCUGCAACUCGACUCCAUGAAGUAGGAAUCGCUAGUAAUCGCGGAUCAGAAUGCCGCGGUGAAUACGUUCCCGGGCCUUGUACACACCGCCCGUCA